GUGCAUGCGGCAGCUACCAUGCAAGUCGAGCGGUAACAGGGGUAGCUUGCUACCCGCUGACGAGCGGCGGACGGGUGAGUAAUGCAUAGGAAUCUGCCCGAUAGUGGGGGAUAACCUGGGGAAACCCAGGCUAAUACCGCAUACGUCCUACGGGAGAAAGGGGGCUCCGGCUCCCGCUAUUGGAUGAGCCUAUGUCGGAUUAGCUAGUUGGUAAGGUAAUGGCUUACCAAGGCAACGAUCCGUAGCUGGUCUGAGAGGAUGAUCAGCCACAUCGGGACUGAGACACGGCCCGAACUCCUACGGGAGGCAGCAGUGGGGAAUAUUGGACAAUGGGGGCAACCCUGAUCCAGCCAUGCCGCGUGUGUGAAGAAGGCCCUCGGGUUGUAAAGCACUUUCAGCGAGGAAGAACGCCUAUCGGUUAAUACCCGGUAGGAAAGACAUCACUCGCAGAAGAAGCACCGGCUAACUCCGUGCCAGCAGCCGCGGUAAUACGGAGGGUGCAAGCGUUAAUCGGAAUUACUGGGCGUAAAGCGCGCGUAGGUGGCUUGAUAAGCCGGUUGUGAAAGCCCCGGGCUCAACCUGGGAACGGCAUCCGGAACUGUCAGGCUAGAGUGCAGGAGAGGAAGGUAGAAUUCCCGGUGUAGCGGUGAAAUGCGUAGAGAUCGGGAGGAAUACCAGUGGCGAAGGCGGCCUUCUGGACUGACACUGACACUGAGGUGCGAAAGCGUGGGUAGCAAACAGGAUUAGAUACCCUUGGUAGUC
rnacentral:rRNA from 1 species